rnacentral:rRNA from 1 species
GGAAUCUUCCACAAUGGACGCAAGUCUGAUGGAGCAACGCCGCGUGAGUGAAGAAGGGUUUCGGCUCGUAAAGCUCUGUUGUUAAAGAAGAACGUGGGUAAGAGUAACUGUUUACCCAGUGACGGUAUUUAACCAGAAAGCCACGGCUAACUACGUGCUAG